AGACAGAGGUCCCGAGCGUUAGGCGGAAUCACUGGGCUUAAAGCGUGUGUAGGCGGCGGCCUAAGUACCUUGUGAAAUCCCACGGCUCACCCGUGGAACUGCUCGGUAUACUGGGUCGCUUGAGCCACUUAGGGGCUACCGAAACAAAUGUGGAGCGGUGAAAUGCGUAGAUAUCAUUUGGAACGCCAAUGGUGAAAACAGGUAGCUGGGAGUGUGCUGACGCUGAGACACGAAAGCCAGGGGAGCAAACGGGAUUAGAUACCCCGGUAGUCCUGGCUGUAAACGAUGUCGACUAGAUCGCAGCGGCUCUGACGCCGUUGCGGUCGAAGCAAAAGUGCUAAGUCGACCGCCUGGGAAGUACGGUCGCAAGGCUAAAACUCAAAUGAAUUGACGGGG
rnacentral:rRNA from 1 species